UACGUAGGGCGCAAGCGUUAUCCGGAAUUAUUGGGCGUAAAGAGCUCGUAGGCGGUUUGUCGCGUCUGCCGUGAAGGUCCGGGGCUCAACUCCGGAUCUGCGGUGGGUACGGGCAGACUAGAGUGAUGUAGGGGAGACUGGAAUUCCUGGUGUAGCGGUGAAAUGCGUAGAUAUCUGGAGGAAUACCGGUGGCGAAGGCGGCAUCCUGGACCGGCAUUGACGCUGAUGAGCGAAAGCUAGGGGAGCAAACGGG
rnacentral:rRNA from 1 species